UACGUAGGGCGCAAGCGUUAUCCGGAAUUACUGGGCGUAAAGGGCUCGUAGGUGGCCAACUAAGUCGGACGUGAAAUCCCUCGGCUUAACCGGGGAACUGCGUCUGAUACUGGAUGGCUUGAGUUCGGGAGAGGGAUGCGGAAUUCCAGGUGUAGCGGUGAAAUGCGUAGAUAUCUGGAGGAACACCGGUGGCGAAGGCGGCUUUCUGGACACUUACUGACGCUGAGACGCGAAAGCGUGGGGAGCAAACAGG
rnacentral:rRNA from 1 species